rfam:Gossypium arboreum cultivar AKA8401 contig_16963_3, whole genome shotgun sequence.
GAGAGCCAAAUGAAUCAAAAGGUUCAUAUUUGGUUUGGGAAGGGAUCAUGAAAUUUUUUAAAUUAAAAAAUUGAAUGGAAAGAUAAUCUACUUUCAU